rnacentral:rRNA from 1 species
CCCUUAGAUGUUCUGGGCCGCACGCGCGCUACACUGACGAAUGCAACGAGCUUAUAACCUUGGCCGAAAGGUCUGGGUAAUCUCCAAAUUUCGUCGUGAUGGGGAUAGAUUAUUGAAAUUAUUAAUCUUCAACGAGGAAUGCCUAGUAAGCGCAAGUCAUCAGCUUGCGUUGAUUACGUCCCUGCCCUUUGUACACACCGCCCGUCGCUCCUACCGAUUGAAUGGUCCGGUGAAGCGUUCGGACCGUGGCCUUUGGACGGUUCGCCGUCUGUUGGCUGCGGGAAGUUCGUUAAACCUUAUCAUUUAGAGGAAGGAGAANUCGUAACA